rnacentral:rRNA from 1 species
GACGAACGCUGGCGGCGUGCUUAACACAUGCAAGUCGAACGAAGAGCGAUGGAAGCUUGCUUCUAUCAAUCUUAGUGGCGAACGGGUGAGUAACGCGUAAUCAACCUGCCCUUCAGAGGGGGACAACAGUUGGAAACGACUGCUAAUACCGCAUACGAUCUAAUCUCGGCAUCGAGGAUAGAUGAAAGGUGGCCUCUACAUGUAAGCUAUCACUGAAGGAGGGGAUUGCGUCUGAUUAGCUCGUUGGAGGGGUAACGGCCCACCAAGGCGAUGAUCAGUAGCCGGUCUGAGAGGAUGAACGGCCACAUUGGGACUGAGACACGGCCCAGACUCCUACGGGAGGCAGCAGUGGGGAAUCUUCCGCAAUGGACGAAAGUCUGACGGAGCAACGCCGCGUGAGUGAUGACGGCCUUCGGGUUGUAAAGCUCUGUUAAUCGGGACGAAAGGCCUUCUUGCGAAUAGGGAGAAGGAUUGACGGUACCGGAAUAGAAAGCCACGGCUAACUACGUG